CAGCAGCCACGUUAAUACGUAGGGUGCGAGCGUUAAUCGGAAUUACUGGGCGUAAAGCGUGCGCAGGCGGUUGUGUAAGACAGGUGUGAAAUCCCCGGGCUUAACCUGGGAACUGCGCUUGUGACUGCACAGCUAGAGUAUGGCAGAGGGGGGUGGAAUUCCACGUGUAGCGGUGAAAUGCGUAGAGAUGUGGAGGAACACCGAUGGCGAAGGCAGCCCCCUGGGCCAAUACUGACGCUCAUGCACGAAAGCGUGGGGAGCAAACAGGAUUAGAUACCCCCGUAGUCCCUGUCUCUUAUAC
rnacentral:rRNA from 1 species